UACAGAGGUCUCAAGCGUUGUUCGGAAUCACUGGGCGUAAAGCGUGCGUAGGCUGUUUCGUAAGUCGUGUGUGAAAGGCGCGGGCUCAACCCGCGGACGGCACAUGAUACUGCGAGACUAGAGUAAUGGAGGGGGAACCGGAAUUCUCGGUGUAGCAGUGAAAUGCGUAGAUAUCGAGAGGAACACUCGUGGCGAAGGCGGGUUCCUGGACAUUAACUGACGCUGAGGCACGAAGGCCAAGGGAGCGAAAGGG
rnacentral:rRNA from 1 species